AAACAAAAAAAAUCGCAUGAACGGCGGUUGCGCGCGCAAUAGCGUCAGAGGAAAUAGUCCAGCACUUCGCGGCGGACCACGGAGAUGAACUCAUGGGGCUUCGGUGUUUUCCAGAAAUAGACUGUGAGAUUUGAGGGCGAGAUGAUCUUCAUUUGGGUGACUUUGAGAUCAAUAAGGUGAGAAGAGAUGGAGAAUUCAUCAAGCACGCACAGAGAAAUGGCACCUCCACAGGGCCGCGUUAGAAUCUGAAUGUCUUGAUGCCACCGGAGACCAGAGCUUCUGCUGCUCGCAGUGUUGCAGUGAUGAUGAAAGUGGUAGUCUUUCUGCGUCUAAUUGUUUGGGGCUUAAAGGUUUUGGAUCUCAAUUUCUGAGUAACUUGUUCAAAAUACAGUGUGCUCGGAAUCACUGGGGAGAAUUACAAAAUGGAGGGAAAAAAUAUCAUGUUAACCUGGAAGCAGAGGUUCUAGCUUAAUAGCACUUCAAAUCUUCUAGUUCCAUGCUAACACUUCAGCCCUCUUAAAUCUCAAUAAACCAUCAUGGUUUUAGCUAUAAUUGGAUUCGUAGUAGUAUUUUCUAGAAGCAUACUUGAGAGAGGAUUAGUACUAGUUUGUGAAGCUGCCCUACCUUGGAAGUGAUCAUUAUUGGUAAACUGUGAAGCAAUCA